GCCUAGUUAGCUUAGUUGGUAGCGCGUCUGCCUUGUAACCGCUAAGCCGCGGGUUCGAUUCCCGCCCGGGGCG
rnacentral:tRNA from 1 species